rnacentral:other from 18 species
CCAAUAAUCCCUCAUCUAAAAAUUUAACUAAUGAAAU